rnacentral:rRNA from 1 species
CUACGGGGGGCACCAGUGGGGAAUAUUGCACAAUGGGCGCAAGCCUGAUGCAGCCAUGCCGCGUGUAUGAAGAAGGCCUUCGGGUUGUAAAGUACUUUCAGCGGGGAGGAAGGGAGUAAAGUUAAUACCUUUGCUCAUUGACGUUACCCGCAGAAGAAGCACCGGCUAACUCCGUGCCAGCAGCCGCGGUAAUACGGAGGGUGCAAGCGUUAAUCGGAAUUACUGGGCGUAAAGGCACGCAGGCGGUUUGUUAAGUCAGAUGUGAAAUCCCCGGGCUCAACCUGGGAACUGCAUCUGAUACUGGCAAGCUGGAGUCUCGUAGAGGGGGGUAGAAUUCCAGGUGUAGCGGUGAAAUGCGUAGAGAUCUGGAGGAAUACCGGUGGCGAAGGCGGCCCCCUGGACGAAGACUGACGCUCAGGUGCGAAAGCGUGGGGAGCAAACAGGAUUAGAUACCCGUGUAGUC